AGGAGAGUUUGAUCCUGGCUCAGGAUGAACGCUAGCGGCAGGCCUAACACAUGCAAGUCGAGGGGUAACGCGAGGUAGCAAUACUUCGGCGACGACCGGCGCACGGGUGCGUAACGCGUAUGCAACCUGCCCUGUACAGGGGGAUAACGGGGUGAAAAUCCCACUAAUAUCCCAUGGUGUCGCGAGGCCGCAUGACCUUGUGACUAAAGCUUCGGUGGUACAGGAUGGGCAUGCGUGACAUUAGCUAGUUGGCGGGGCAACGGCCCACCAAGGCGACGAUGUCUAGGGGAGCUGAGAGGCUAAUCCCCCACACUGGUACUGAGACACGGACCAGACUCCUACGGGAGGCAGCAGUGAGGAAUAUUGGUCAAUGGAGGGAACUCUGAACCAGCCAUGCCGCGUGAGGGAAGAAGGCCCUAUGGGUUGUAAACCUCUUUUGCCUGGGGGCAAUAAGGCGCAUGCGUGCGUUGAUGAGAGUACCAGGCGAAUAAGCAUCGGCUAACUCCGUGCCAGCAGCCGCGGUAAUACGGAGGAUGCGAGCGUUAUCCGGAUUUAUUGGGUUUAAAGGGUGCGCAGGCGGUCGAUUAAGUCAGCGGUGAAAUGUCCCGGCUCAACCGGGGAGCUGCCGUUGAUACUGGUUGGCUUGAGUGCGAACGGCGCCGGCGGAAUGAGUGGUGUAGCGGUGAAAUGCAUAGAUAUCACUCAGAACACCGAUCGCGAAGGCAGCUGGCGAGGACGUUACUGACGCUGAGGCACGAAAGCGUGGGGAUCAAACAGGAUUAGAUACCCUGGUAGUCCCCU
rnacentral:rRNA from 1 species